GCUUAACCUUCGGGAGGGCGCUUACCACUUUGUGAUUCAUGACUGGGGUGAAGUCGUAACAAGGUAACCGUAGGGGAACCUGCGGUUGGAUCACCUCCUUACCUUAAAGAAGC
rnacentral:rRNA from 10 species